rnacentral:rRNA from 1 species
GAUGAAUGCUGGCGGCGCGCCUAACACAUGCAAGUCGAGCGGUAACAUGGACUUCGGUCUGAUGACGAGCGGCGGACGGCUGAGUAACGCGUGGGAACAUGCCCCAAAGUGGGGAAUAACUGCCCGAAAGGGUAGCUAAUGCCGCAUAUGAUCUUCGGAUUAAAGGAUUUAUCCGCUUUGGGAGUGGCCCGCGUUCGAUUAGGUAGUUGGUGAGGUAAAGGCUCACCAAGCCUACGAUCGAUAACUGGUCUAAGAGGAUGAUCAGUCAGACUGGAACUGAGACACGGUCCAGACUCCUACGGGAGGCAGCAGUGAGGAAUCUUCCACAAUGGGCGAAAGCCUGAUGGAGCGACGCCGCGUGCAGGAUGAAGGCCUUCGGGUUGUAAACUGCUUUUAUAAGUGAAGAAUAUGACGGUAACUUAUGAAUAAGCACCGGCUAACUACGUGCCAGCAGCCGCCGCC